rnacentral:lncRNA from 1 species
GCUAAAGGUGACCCCAAGAAACCAAAGGGCAAGAUGUCUGCUUAUGCUUUCAUCGUGCAGAAAUGCAGGGAAGAACAUAAGAAGAAAAACCCAGAGGUUACAGUCAAUUUUGCAGAGUGUUCCAAGAAAUGCUCUGAGAGGUGGAAGACCAUGUCUAGCAAAGAAAAAUCAAAAUCUGAUGAAAUGGCAAAGGCAGAUAAAGUAUACUAUAAUCGGGAGAUGAAAGAUUAUGGACCAGCUGAAAGAUUAUGGACCAGCAAGAAGAAGAAGGACCCGAAUGCCCCCAAAAGACCUAUCUGGAUUUUUUCUUAUUCUGCUCUGAAUUCCACCCCAAAAUGAAAUCCAUUGGAGAUGUGGGGAAAAAAAUCUGGGUGAGAUGUGGAAUAACUUCAGUGACAGUUAAAAGCAGCCUGCGUCACCAAGGCAGCAAAGCUGAAGGAGAAGGAUGAGAAGGAUGUUGCUGACUGUCAGUCUAAAGGGAAGUUUGAGGGGGCCAAGGGUCCUGCUAAAGUUGCCCGGAAAAAGGUGGAAGAAGAGGAGGGGGACGAAGAGGAGGAGGAGGAGGAAGAGGAAGAAGAGGAGGAAGAAGAAUAA